GCCAGGUGUGGUGGCGCACACCUGUAAGCCCAGCAAUUUAGAAGGCUGAGGCAGGAGGAUUGCAAGUUUGAGGACAGUCUUAGCAAUUUAGUGAGACCCUCAGCAACUUAGCAAGACCUUGUCUCAA
rnacentral:sRNA from 1 species